rnacentral:rRNA from 1 species
CACUGGGACUGAGACACGGCCCAGACUCCUACGGGAGGCAGCAGUGGGGAAUAUUGGACAAUGGGGGCAACCCUGAUCCAGCCAUGCCGCGUGUGUGAAGAAGGCCUUUUGGUUGUAAAGCACUUUAAGCAGUGAAGAAGACUCCAUGGUUAAUACCCAUGGACGAUGACAUUAGCUGCAGAAUAAGCACCGGCUAACUCUGUGCCAGCAGCCGCGGUAAUACAGAGGGUGCAAGCGUUAAUCGGAAUUACUGGGCGUAAAGCGAGCGUAGGUGGCUUGAUAAGUCAGAUGUGAAAGCCCCGGGCUUAACCUGGGAACGGCAUCUGAUACUGUUAGGCUAGAGUAGGUGAGAGGAAGGUAGAAUUCCAGGUGUAGCGGUGAAAUGCGUAGAGAUCUGGAGGAAUACCGAUGGCGAAGGCAGCCUUCUGGCAUCAUACUGACACUGAGGUUCGAAAGCGUGGGUAGCAAACAGGAUUAGAUACCCUGGUAGUCCACGCCGUAAACG